ACAGUGGUCACUGGGAUUAUG
rnacentral:miRNA from 17 species